AAACAACAGCAGAAAAAAAAAAAAAAAAAAAACAAAAAAAAAAAAGAAAAAAAAAAAACAAUAAAUUAGGUAUCAGCACAGCUUUCUAAAUGUUCUAGAACAAUUACUUGCAAGACAAAAAAUCACAGCUCUGGUACUUAGAAUCUUGUCUUUUUU